GAUAAACGCUGGCGGCGUGCCUAAUACAUGCAAGUCGAGCGAACGGACAAGAAGUCUUCGGACAUUUUGAAAGUGAGCGGCGAACGGGUGAGUAACACGUAGGUAACCUGCCCUUGAGAUUGGGAUAACAGUUGGAAACGACUGCUAAUACCGAAUAGGAACGAGUGAGGCAUCUCAAUAGUUUAAAAGGCGCUUUCGGGCUUCACUCAAGGAUGGACCUGCGGCGCAUUAGCUAGUGGGUGGGGUAAUGGCCCACCAAGGCAACGAUGCGUAGCCGACCUGAGAGGGUGAUCGGCCACACUGGGACUGAGACACGGCCCAGACUCCUACGGGAGGCAGCAGUAGGGAAUUUUCCACAAUGGACGAAAGUCUGAUGGAGCAACGCCGCGUGUGCGAAGAAGGCCUUCGGGUUGUAAAGCACUGUUGUAAGGGAAGAAUAGGUGUGAUAGGAAAUGAUCAUACUGUGACGGUACCUUACCAGAAAGCCACGGCUAACUACGUGCCAGCCGCCGCCGUAACAC
rnacentral:rRNA from 1 species